CAAUCAGUUCCUGCAAAGUUUCUCCAAGCAGUUCACCUGACUUCUAGCGGGUUUCUGGGGAGGACCUGGAUCCAGCCUACCUUGAAUAAGAGCUGUGAGGGAGAUGGCUAUGACUUUUCUGGUUCCACCUAUCGUGGGAAUUCACCCUGGCUCCAUGAAUGUGUGACUAAUUUCCUGGACAGGUGAGCUGACAUAAGCCUCUGGUGUAGAAUCGUAAGGACUGAAAGGGACCCCUGGAGAUCAUUGUGUCCAACCCCCUGCUAAAGCAGUUCCCUACAGCAGGCCACACGGGAAAGCAUCCAGAUGGGUCUCGAAUGUCUCCAGAGAAGGAGAAUCCACAGCCUCUCUGGGCAGCCUGUUCCAGUGCUCUGUCAGCCUCACAGUAAUGAAAUUCCUCUUUGUCUUGGUGUGGAACUUACUGUGUUCCAGUUUCUGCGCAUUGCCCCUUGUUCUGUUGCUGUGCACCACCAAAAAGAGUCCAACUCCAUGGACUCGAUUCUCACACUUCAGUUAUUUAUAAACAGUGAUGAGAUCCCCUUUCAGUCUUCUCUUCUCCAGGCUGAACAGACCCAGGUCUCUCAGCUUUUCCUCGUAACGGAAAUGCUCCAGGCCCUUUAUCAUCUUUGUUGCCUUCCACUGAAUUCUUUUCCUGUUCUCUUCCUGCUUACAUUGAAAGCAGGACAGCACCAUGGGCCUGACCCUAGGGAUACAAUACUAAUAAGAGCACAGGGCCAUUCCUCAGAUCUAAGUGACGCUGAGCAAUUUCUCUGCUCCAGGUUUUCAGUGCAAAAAUCCAUGCUUACCAAUGCAGCUCAUUAAUGCCUGAGAGCAACCUUCAAGUUACCUGUAAUACUCUCUGAAUCAGACAUGCAAUUUUAGCAUCUGUUUUUAUCUGGUAAUGGUGAGUAUCUAUGGCCUGUUUUCAGAGGUGACUUAUAUGCCUAAAUCCUAAUGAGUUAUUUUUAAGCUAGAAUGUCCUAGUUUCAGCUUCAGGUUCACCUACUGGACCUUGUUAUCAGUUCUGAGAGGAAAGACUGGUCAUUUUUAAUAACAUGGAAAAAAAAUAAUAAAGGGCAAAAAGGACAAUUAGAGCCCUUAAUGUUUACCAAGGGCAUGGAACCAUUAUAAGACUAAAGCAAGUGAUCAUUAGAGAUAACCUUUCUUCUUCUGGGAGGUACUGCUGUUAGGUAUACAAUGAAAUGGAACAGCACUCUGUCUUCGGGUCCAUUGAAGAGCCUUUGCUUUGUUUAAAUGACAUGUUUUUUUACACAGGGCUUGGUGUGCUGCCAUUAACAUGGUUUCACGCCUCCUUUGUGCUUUCAUUGCCCCAGGCCGAAUGGUUUCGGCAUUACAUGCUUCCUCUGAUAUGGAAUCUGACCAUACUGCUCCAGGCUACCUGGCCAGGAGUGGAAGAGACUGCUGUGGUUCCUGCUAACCCAGCCCCUGGGUGCUUCAUCUCCACCUGAGAUCUUCUGUAAAAACAAAUGCACAACGCUCCUGUGGGUGAACCAGUGAUGAGCCUGAUACCGUGGGCAGGGAAAUGUUACUGAUCUGUACUGUUAAAUGCAUAGCUCCAGUUUUUUGUUCUCUUCCUUGUUUGGGCAAAUUAACUUCCCCUGCAGCUUGCACUUUCCCCUGGCAGAUGUGCUAGCAGCCUUUCACUGUGCUCACAUCAACUUCAUGGCUGCUGGCAUGCCCACUACCAAACUUGCACCUGGAUUUGAGAACUUUGGAACAGAAGUCCAGGCAGAGCUGUGAGGGAAUUAUUGAAGAGUAAGAAAGGGUUCAGUAAAAAGGGGUCUGCAGUAACUAAGGGUAAAAGGAUUAGAAAUUGCUUACAGAAGCAAAUAUGCAGAGGCCACUAGAAGAAUGGGAUAAUAACAAGAUGGGUUUAGGACAAUGCGGGGUAGAAGAGAUAAAGAUGAGGGUGUGAAAACGGUUCAAAUACACCGGGCAAGGAGGUGGUAAGAUGUCCCCAAAGUUAGAACUGGUUCGGGGGCUACCCCUCCCUCAGGGUCAGAAGUUUACAGCGAGGAAGACUACGAGCCUUCAUCCAACCACCAUCAGGAGACCCCCCCACUGCUCACGACGCAUGCAUGAGGGGGAGGGACCGUAUGCUAAGGAAUCUCGGGAAUGUAAUGAAUAUGUAUACGAAUUCUGGGAAAAUCAUCGAUUAUGUAUUAGUUCUGCCUAUAUCUAUACCAAGGUUUUGUCCUGAUGGCAUGCAAGUUAGGAGGAGCUAUCCCCCCUGCAUCUGGCUCUGUGCAGCGUUGAUUAAAACAUACCUGAUUUAUAACUACUUUGUGGCUAUAGCAUUUGAUUCCGCAAGUGAUUAUUUCUCUGCUAUAGAAGAGCUAAGACUGUAGAAUAUUGUUAGUGGCAUGUAUCUCAGAGGUAAGGGUUUAUUUCAUAGAGUCAUAGAAUCAUAGAAUCGCUAAGGUUGGAAAAGACCCACAGGAUCAUCCGGUCCAACCAUUCACCCAUCACCAAUGGUUCUCGCUAAACCAUGAGAUGCCAUAUUUAGUGGCAUGGGACUCCUGAAGAGGAUGAGUAUCUGAACAGAAGUUAAUUUGUUGUUGUGGCUGAAUGGUGCGAAGAAACGUGGCCCCAUGGGCGUACCAGAAUUGAUAACAAGCCAAAGAACAGCAACAUCAGGAAAAGGUAACAGCCACGCACAGCUUGCUGUAAGAGUAGUGCCUACAAGAGGGGAUACAAACAAGACAAGGUGCUCAACCUUGCACCAAGUCAGUGCCAGGUGAAGUGAGCUGUGUA
ensembl:lncRNA